rnacentral:rRNA from 1 species
CCUACUGUGUGCAGCAGUGAGGAAUAUUGGUCAAUGGGCGCGAGCCUGAACCAGCCAAGUCGCGUGAGGGAAGACGGCCCUACGGGUUGUAAACCUCUUUUGCCGGGGAGCAACGGGCGCCACGUGUGGCGCCACUGAGAGUACCCGGAGAAAAAGCAUCGGCUAACUCCUUGCCAGCAGCCGCGGUAAUAAGGAGGAUGCGAGCGUUAUCCGGAUUUAUUGGGUUUAAAGGGUUCGUAGGCGGAGCGUUAAGUCAGUGGUCAAAUUGUGGGGUUCAACCCCUUCCCGCCAUUGAAACUGGCGCUCUUGAGGGGAAGAGAAGUAUGCGGAAUUCGUGGUGUAGCGGUGAAAUGCA